AAGACACAAUAGUCAGGAGAGCAUUUUAUAAAACAUACAAUGUCACACAAACAUAAGCAACAGUUUUUAUUAUUGCCCUGGGCCCCAAGUCUAGAGUCAAUAACUUGACAAAAGUCAUGGGCUCCUUGGAAGGGUGACAAGCAUACCUGGGCCUAUCCCUCAUGUUGGUUAACCUCACAGCAUGCCAGAGGUCAUGUUUACAGCACAACAUCAAUUGGAACAAUAAUACUACAUUCCAGGGUUGCUGGGAAGCCUGAAAUUCUACAUAGAUAUCUGUGAUACAAUGGGAUGUAAAUCAAGAAAAUUCUAUUCACCACUUUGGUUUGGUACCUUGCCUCUGCCACAUUCUGGGGGACAUGACCACUAGAUCGAAGCUGUGUGGCUCUGAACAGGCAGGCUUGCAACAGACUGUGGAGGAGUUGACCAACAGCCAAGAAGGUAACUACUCACUCCAGCCUCAUCCACAGAAGGAGAAGAAUGGAAUUCUGCUUGCUGAGGAGCUUCCAGAACUAACAUUCUAAUUCAUGCCAAAUACCAAGGGCACUGCCUCUUGUGGUUUCCUGAAGCUCCUGAGCUGCCUUUUCUCACCACUGGGAUUUUCAGGUCCACUAUCACUUUAGGUGCU
rnacentral:lncRNA from 1 species